UACGUAGGCAGCAAGCGUUGUUCGGAAUUACUGGGCGUAAAGAGUGUGUAGGCGGUGCUCUAAGUCUGUCGUGAAAUCUCCCGGCUUAACUGGGAGGGUGCGGCGGAAACUGGUGUGCUUGAGGAUGGGAGAGGUAAGCGGAAUUCCUGGUGUAGCGGUGAAAUGCGUAGAUAUCAGGAGGAACACCUGUGGUGUAGACAGCUUACUGGACCAUUUCUGACGCUGAGACACGAAAGCGUGGGUAGCAAACAGG
rnacentral:rRNA from 1 species